UACGUAGGGGGCAAGCGUUGUCCGGAUUUAUUGGGCGUAAAGAGCGUGUAGGCGGCUAGAUAGGUCCGUUGUGAAAACUCGAGGCUCAACCUCGAGACGUCGAUGGAAACCGCGUGGCUAGAGUCCGGAAGAGGAGAGUGGAAUUCCUGGUGUAGCGGUGAAAUGCGCAGAUAUCAGGAAGAACACCAAUGGCGAAGGCAGCUCUCUGGGACGGUACUGACGCUGAGACGCGAAAGCGUGGGGAGCGAACAGG
rnacentral:rRNA from 1 species